GAUGAACGCUGGCGGCGUGCCUAACACAUGCAAGUCGAACGGAGAUUACGGACGGAAGUUUUCGGAUGGAAGACUGUAAUUCUUAGUGGCGGACGGGUGAGUAACGCGUGGGCAACCUGCCCUAUACAGGGGGAUAGCAGCUGGAAACGGCUGGUAAGACCGCAUAAGUCGGCGAGACCGCCUGGUUUUGCCGUGUAAUGAGCCAUCAGGUAUAGGAUGGGCCCGCGUCCGAUUAGCCUGUUGGCAGGGUAAAAGCCUACCAAAGCAACGAUCGGUAGCCGGACUGAGAGGUCGGACGGACACAUUGGGACUGAGACACGGCCCAAACUCCUACGGGAGGCAGCAGUGGGGGAUAUUGCACAAUGGAGGAAAAUCUGAUGCAGCGACGCCGCGUGAGUGAAGAAGUAUUUCGGUAUGUAAAGCUCUAUCAGCAGGGAAGAUGAUGACGGUACCUGACUAAGAAGCCCCGGCUAACUACGUG
rnacentral:rRNA from 1 species